rnacentral:piRNA from 1 species
UAACCUGUGUGCAUUUGAUGUCUACAUCCUU